CAAAUCCCCAUUCAGCCAUGAUACUUGCUGGGUGACUCUGGGCCAGUCACUUCUCUCUCAGCCUAACCCUACAGGGUUGUUGUGAGGACAAACUUAAGUAUGUAGUACACCACUCUGGGCUCUGGAGGAAGAGUGGGAUAUAAAUGUAUUAAAUAAAUAAAUAAGCUGCCUAAAGUGUCAUCAUGGAGAUGAACAUUUAGAUGGCAAAGCACUUUUUAUUGUAAGGAAAGAUCUCUAUAAAUUCAUAAUUACAACAAAACACACCAGGGCACAGUUUUGAUUUCCAUCAGAAUUCAUUUUAUGGCUUACUUUGGGAUUGCUUCAGCUGAAAUACGUAGAAUUAACUUUGACAUACAGCUAUUCUUUCAGUAUAUUGCUUUUAAAACAGCAUGCCAUUGUUUUAGGAGGAUGAAUAUUUCUGAAAGUGAAAAAAAGACUUCAUUCAAAAAACACAGAGAAAAAUGAACCUUAACAAUAGAUCUUUAUAGAAAGAGGACUGGGCUGCUAUAUACACUGCCCAUGGGAUUGUAUAGUUCUGAGUCAGCUGACCCAGACAGGAAUAACAAUCAGAGUUCUGUACAGCAAUAAUUGUUUGCUGGGGCACUUAUUGGAACAAAUUGCCGGGGUGGAGGGGAGGGAUGAAAACAAAGGCUACAACUUGCCAUGAUCUUUGCACUAUUGAAUCAAUGUCCAUUUCUCAGAUACUGCAGUGAGGAACAACACUGAAAUCUAAUAAUGACCAGGAGGUGCCAUCAUUGUAUCUAAGCAGGAAAGAUGUAAACAGCUGAGUAGGAACUGUUAUUUCAAAGGGCACAUCCAGAGAGCAUUACAUGUAAAAUUGGCCUUGAUGAUCCAACCGCAGAUGUUCUUCAGGACUCUGACUUCAACAGUAGUGUACAAUAUUGUCUUCAGUAGCAUCAUGCCUGCCAGGAGGUGGUAAUGGGCUGGAUUAGGGACAACAAACUGAAAUUGAAUCCAAAUAAGACAGAAGUACUGACUGGAGUGGCGUGGCAUGGGGUCAGAACUCAAGUGAUGGUUUAGAUCUGCCUGUUCUGGAUGGGGUUACACUUCCCCAGAAGGAACAAGUACAUAGCUUGGGAGUUCUCCUGGAUCCAAAACUCUCUCUGUUUUCUCAGGCUGGGCCAGGAGCGCUUUUUAUCAACUUCAGCUGAUACCCAGAACUAUGCACUUUCCUUUUCUGUAGGAAAGUGACUUUAAUACAGUGGUACAGCUGGUAAGCUUCAGGCUUGACUACAGUAAUGCACUCUUUGUGGGGCUGCCCUUGUAUAUAGUCCAGAAACUACAUUUGGUGCAGAAUGCGAUAGCCAGAGUGGUCUCCAGGAUAACCCAAAGAGACCAUAUAACACUGAUUUUAAAAUAAUUGCACUGGCUGCCAAUAUGUUACUGAGCAAAGUACAUCGUGCUGGUUAUUUCCUAUACAGCCCUGAAUGGCUUAGGUCCAGGGUAUUUAGGAGAGCAUCUCCUUUGUCAUGAACCCCUCCAUCUAUUAACAUCAUCUGGGGAGGUCCAGUUAUGGCUACCACCAGCUUGUUUGGUGGCUACUUGUGACUGGACCUUCUCAGUGGCUGCCCUGGAGUAGGGAUGUGCACAGAACCGUUCAGCGCUCCAUUAUAGGAGUACCAAACUGGUUCCCUUAACUGGUGUUCAAGCUGGUUAAAAGGUGCAGGGGGUGGAUAACUUUAAGGGUGGGGGAUUACUUUAAGGGCAGUGUAUGACAUGCACAUGUGCACUGGGAACUUUUGGUCACUUCCAGUCCAAAGGAGCAACAGGGCAGCAGGGAGGUAUGCUGCUGCCCCGCUGAACCAUUUGAAUACACAGCCCCGGUGGGGGAAACGCAGUGGGAGGGGUAAGAGCACCCUCCCCCACCCUUAAAUUUUUCCACCCCGUCACCUUUGGACCAGCAAGUGCCGUUUCUAUGCACAUCCCUACUUUGGGGCUCUGGAAUUCACAUGGUUUAAUCAUUUUAUCCUGUUUUUAUACUUUAUUUUAACUUAUGUACACUGCCUAGGAAUGCACAUGUCAGGCAGUAUAGAAAUAUGAUAAAUAAAUAAAUAGAUAGAGAGAUAAGUAAUAGAGUCUUCAGAUGCCCCUGGGAAGCUUACAAGCAUAAUUAUAGCCAUCCUUUGUUCAUUUGCAGCUUCCGAAACCCAUUAAACUACAUGAAUGUACACAAACUUAAUUCACAUAGCCUGUUCACACUUUUUACUUUCUGCCUGUCUGUAUCCCUCACACACUAUUCGCAUGUCAGCCACAUAUUUACCCAUCCAUCAAAGUCAAGCUCCUGUGACUUUUUUUGGAAACACUGGCAUAAAGGAACUGCCUUGGGAUUGUUUUAAUGAAAGGUGGUGUAUAAAUUUAAUAAUUAAAAAUAAUAAUAAUAAACGUCACCGGUUCGUUUGGUGACGACUCAGAGGCGGGCCUUCUCUGUAGCUGCUCCUGGACAGUGGAAUGCACUCCCAGUGGAAAUUUGUAAUCUUGAUUCUUUACUGUCCUUCAAGAGAGCCCUUAAAACCUAUCUGUUUGGCCUGGCCUUUCAGGGUUUUUAAUCAGUUUUAAUUGUUUUAAUACCUGGUUUUCAGGGUUUUAAUUGUUUUGAUAGUUUAAUUGUUUUUUAAGUUGUUUUAAAUUGGUAUUUAUAUUUGUAUCUCUGUUUUAAUUGUUUUUAAUGUUUUCUGUUUUAAUUGUAAACCACCCUGAGCCAUUUCGGAAGGGUGGUAUAGAAAUCAAAUCAAAUCAAAUCAAAUCAAUAAAUCAAUAAAUAAA